UAGGUAUAGAUAUACACAGCAAUCCCUUUCAGAAUGAGUCUCUGCAGGCAGUUAUCCUAAAAACUGCAACUGUUAAUCAUUUUACAUCCGAUUUAAUUCGGAGCUUUAAGUUUUGAGUAUGAUCGUCACUACUGUGAAGCUUUUUGAUUUUCAGCAGCUCUUCAUGGUGUUUAGAUUUAUAAUGUACCAAAAGUAACCCUAAACUGUGACAUCUGUUCACGUGGAGCUGAACAAUCUACUUACAUUUUUGCCAAUUUUCAGAUUUUAGUCUUUCCCUCUGUCUUUGUUACAUUUUGAAGUCCAGCGGACCAGAGUUCUUUAGUUUCAGUUCCUUUCCUAUUGAGGCUGCAUGUUACUGGAGCUUUAAACUUUACUUAAAGUAUUUCAAACUAUUUGUUUUUGUCCUUUUUUAGUCUCCAAACUGCAGAGCCAACGCCUGCAGACGCCUUGAUUCUGUUAUAAUAAAGUCGGGGUAAGGAUCCGUUUUCCUGUCUUUAAACGAGUGCAGCUUAGAAAUGUCUCCUAGGAGAGACGCCAUGUUUUAACAAUAUCGCGUUGUAACGCCGACCUCAGACUUAACCCUGAACUGGACCUCGGGUCCACCACCGGGCUUCUGACUCCUCUGGCAAAGGCAGUCAGAGAAUAGCUGAACACAAUGCAUGUUGGGUAUUUUAUGGUAAGAAACUGUACGCCAGUGAUGGAGAGAAGGGGAACUCAGCAGGUGGAGUCGUCUGCUUUAGUGUACUUUUGUAAAGUUUCUUUUUAACUUAUGUUUUGAUUUUAUUGUUCUUGUUGGAGGUGGCAGCUCAACCCGGACCGUGUUCAGAGAAGCUAGUACUUGGAAAGUAUUUGUUACAGUAUUGCUCCAGCUCAGUUUGAAUAUUGACUUUGAAACCAGUAAGCAGAAAUAACUACGUCCCUCAUCAAGCUCGGUUUGCUUUUCUUUGUCAAUUUUUUUUGUAUUUGCUCAAAUUAUGAUAAGCGAGUUCAGUCCAGACCCGGACCCACUGUGUAUAUUACAUGUACGAUAUUAUACUAUAUGUAUAUAUUUAUGUACUAUACUGUAUGAGUACCUGUUUAAUUUCAGUUGUGGACUUUGUGCUUUUACCAACAAAAAAUCUGAUUCACAGAAAAUGUAAGAGAAAAGAGUGUUUCUUCUGUUCUUUUUCUUUGUUUUUGUUUAGAUGUAUAUGUCGAUAUGAAAGGGUUAAUGAAGGAAACUCCAGCACGGACUCACCGAGCUCUUUGACAUUCCCGAACACAAUAAACCGUCUCCUUCCCACC